AUACGUAGGGUGCAAGCGUUAAUCGGAAUUACUGGGCGUAAAGCGUGCGCAGGCGGUUUUGUAAGACAGAGGUGAAAUUCCCGGGGUCAACCUGGGGACUGCCUUUGUGACGGGAAGGCUAGAGUACGGCAGAGGGGGCGGGAAUUCCGCGGGUACGAGUGAAAUGCGUAGAUAUGCGGAGGAACACCGAUGGCGAAGGCAAUCCCCUGGGCCUGUACUGACGCUCAUGCACGAAAGCGUGGGGAGCAAACAGGAUUAGAUACCCUGGUAGUCCACGCCCUAAACGAUGUCAACUGGUUGUUGGGUCUUCAUUGACUCAGUAACGAAGCUAACGCGUGAAGUUGACCGCCUGGGGAGUACGGCCGCAAGGUUGAAACUCAAAUGAAUUGACGGGG
rnacentral:rRNA from 1 species